GUCAAAUCCUCUUUAGUGAUAAGUGAUUUCAAAAGUGGUAGUAAAUGGGUCAUACAUUCUAAAAAUUCAUAAAGGAGUACUUGCAGUACCAUAACCAUAAUCAUAGGAAAGGACCACAAACUGUUACUACAAAGUUGGAAGUUCCCAAUUGUCUAAAUGUCUUUGCAUCAUGUAUUUAGAUGAUCAAUCACUGAAACUUAGGGGCCUAGUCAAAUCCUGAAAAACAGUCCCAGAUAAUUAUUCCUACUUCACCUAACUUUGCGUAUUUAGAUGCGAAACUUGGGUACAGCUGCUCAGCCACGGAAAACCUUUUCAUAAAACUCAUAAGGUUCUUCUGCUGAUGUUGACUCUCAGUCAAUUUCGAGUUCUGUAGUUAGUGAUGGAACCGGUGAUAUGUAUGCGCUACGAGCUUUAGCACUCGGCACCUCCGCUCUGUGUGUGGUCUAGAAUUUCAUGGCUGGAUUGUUGCUCCUCAAAGCUUCUUCACAUAAAUAAUACAGUUGACUCAGGCAGACAUUUUUCAAACUGACUUUGGACAAAGUCAACAUUCUUAUGAUGGUUCCACAUUAAAAGUUCUUGAACUCUUCAGCAAGACCCACUGUACUGUCAAUGUUUGUCUAUAGAGAUUUCAUGGGUGUGUGCUGGAUUUUAUGCUCCUCUUAGCAAUGGGUGUGGCUGAAACACUUGUUGGAGUGUAAUUUUGCCCAUAUAUAGUCCAGAAGACCUAGUUCAUCUGGUAUCUCUAGCUGAAGGUCAGAAACUCCUUCCAGACAGCAGAGC